rnacentral:rRNA from 1 species
GAUGAACGCUAGCUACAGGCUUAACACAUGCAAGUCGAGGGGAAACGCCAUCGAAAGCUUGCUUUUGAUGGGCGUCGACCGGCGCACGGGUGAGUAACGCGUAUCCAACCUGCCCAUCACUUGGGGAUAACCUUGCGAAAGUAAGACUAAUACCCAAUGAUAUCUCUAGAAGACAUCUGAAAGAGAUUAAAGAUUUAUCGGUGAUGGAUGGGGAUGCGUCUGAUUAGCUUGUUGGCGGGGUAACGGCCCACCAAGGCAACGAUCAGUAGGGGUUCUGAGAGGAAGGUCCCCCACAUUGGAACUGAGACACGGUCCAAACUCCUACGGGAGGCAGCAGUGAGGAAUAUUGGUCAAUGGGCGAGAGCCUGAACCAGCCAAGUAGCGUGCAGGAAGACGGCCCUAUGGAUUGUAAACUGCUUUUAUAAGGGAAUAAAGUGAGAGUCGUGACUCUUUUUGUAUGUACCUUAUGAAUAAGGACCGGCUAAUUCCGUG